GUGUUUAUGAGCCAGAACAACUGCAUUUUUCACCCAUAGUUUCACUCAGGCAUCUAGAUUAGCAAUUUCUGUUUACAACGAGUUAAAAUGUCAUGAAGUUCAUCCUCUUAGGCAAUAAUUACCUGCCUGCCUUGCUAACAUGCUUAAAUUGUGUGUUGUUGCGUUGCUUGAUAGCUCAAAGAAGUCCGCAGGGAAGUGGAGCUGUCCCGCAGGAGGAGCAUCAAGCUGAAGGCUCAGGUGGACAAACUGCAGGGAAGCACCGACGGACCCGGCUGGAGUCAGCACCGAGAGAGGGUCACAGACGAGGUUCUGUCGGUUCUAAGGCUGCUGCAGCCGCUGAUCGCGUCAGAAUCCGGCCGACCCGAGCCACGAGGCGGGGAGAACCGCCUGGACUCUGCCCUGUCGGAGCUGAAGAAUGUGGCUCGACAGCUGGCAAUCAGCCAUACCAAGCAUGAUUCAAAAUCUGGAGUAAGUGGAGCAGAGGAGAGUGCUGUCCUGCAGCAGGCUCUGAGGGACAGAGACGAGGCCAUAGAGAAGAAGAAGGCGAUGGAGGGCGAGGUGCUACGGAGUAAGACGGAGAUGAUGGCGC